rnacentral:SRP_RNA from 1 species
CCUGGUGUGGUGGCACAUACAUGUAGUCCUAGAUACUCUGGAGGAUCGCUUGAGCCAGGAGUCCUGGACUGUCGGGCACUCUGCAGAUUGGGUGUCCCCACUAAAUUUAGCAUCAAUAGGGAGACCUCCUGGGAGUGGGGCACCACCAGGUUGCCUAAGGAGGGGUGAUCUGGCACAGGUUGGAAACAGCAGGUCAAAACUUCUGUGCUGAGCUGUAGUGGAAUGGUGCUACACUCCAGCCUGGGCAACACAGCGAGGU